CCUACGGGAGGCAGCAGUGAGGAAUAUUGGUCAAUGGACGAGAGUCUGAACCAGCCAAGUAGCGUGAAGGAUGACUGCCCUAUGGGUUGUAAACUUCUUUUAUAUGGGAAUAAAACAGGGUAUGCAUACCCUCUUGUAUGUACCAUAUGAAUAAGGAUCGGCUAACUCCGUGCCAGCAGCCGCGGUAAUACGGAGGAUCCGAGCGUUAUCCGGAUUUAUUGGGUGUAAAGGGAGCGUAGGUGGAUUGUUAAGUCAGUUGUGAAAGUUUGCGGCUCAACCGUAAAAUUGCAGUUGAAACUGGCAGGCUUGAGUACAGUAGAGGUGGGCGGAAUUCGUGGUGUAGCGGUGAAAUGCGUAGAUAUCACGAAGAACUCCGAUUGCGAAGGCAGCUCACUGGACUGCAACUGACACUGAUGCUCGAAAGUGUGGGUAUCAAACAGGAUUAGAUACCCGAGUAGUC
rnacentral:rRNA from 1 species